UGGGGAAUAUUGCACAAUGGAGGGAACUCUGAUGCAGCGACGCCGCGUGAACGAAGAAGGCUUUCGAGUCGUAAAGUUCUUUUAUAUGGGAAGAUAAUGACGGUACCAUAAGAAGAAGCCCCGGCUAACUACGUGCCAGCAGCCGCGGUAAUACGUAGGGGGCUAGCGUUGUCCGGAAUCACUGGGCGUAAAGGGUUCGUAGGCGGAAAUGCAAGUCAGGUGUAAAAGGCAGUAGCUUAACUACUGUAAGCAUUUGAAACUGCAUAUCUUGAGAAGAGUAGAGGUAAGUGGAAUUUUUAGUGUAGCGGUGAAAUGCGUAGAUAUUAAAAAGAAUACCGGUGGCGAAGGCGACUUACUGGGCUCAUUCUGACGCUGAGGAACGAAAGCGUGGGUAGCAAACAGG
rnacentral:rRNA from 1 species